rnacentral:lncRNA from 1 species
GGCUGACUAGGGUUGGCUCCUGCUGGAGGCGGUGUCGGGCUCCGCCGGAACUCCAGGGCUGACCUCGGCCAACUGCUCCUGCAGCGCGCGAGGGCUGUGGCUUCUUGCGGUUCCGACCACCGGAAGGACCGGCCUCUGCGCUGCUGGGAACUGCCCGAGGCCAAGCCGUUGCGGCUGCGAACGGAUCCAUUUUUUGCUUCCCCUUUUUUUUUUUUUUUUCCUAAAUGGGAUUGCUCUCAGGGGCACUUGGGCACUGAGGCACAUCCCAGCCCUAUUUUGUAUUUUAUUUAGAGAAGGGUCUUACUGAGUUGCUUAGCACCUCGCCAUUGCUGAGGCUGGCAAACUUGAGCGCUAGAAUGACAG